CGGCAACAGCUCAAAUUUGAAAUCUGGCCUUUGGCCCGAGUUGUAAUUUGUAGAGGAUGUUUUGGGUACCGCCCCGGUUUAAAUUUCUUGGAACAGAAUGUCAGAGAGGGUGAGAAUCCCGUCU
rnacentral:rRNA from 1 species